UAAUAAUAAUAAGCCCGCAGGGCAGCUUGUGGCGAGCUGUUGGGGAGUAACGACCCCACGGACCCGAGUGCUCCCGAGAGUCGGUCAGGGUCUCCGUCUCCGGCGUGUCUUCGUCGGUCGGAGUGGACCCCAAGGGGACCCGCAGGACUCUCAGCUCUGGCUUGCCUUCAUUGGCCGUCCAGAGAGGAGUCGUUAGAGCUAUAUGCUCCAGGGGUGGAAGUGAAAGAUGCAUAAGACGCGAGUUGGCACAGUGGCUGUUAUUUCGGGGGCCCACCUAGUUAGUGGCAAGUCACCGCCUGCCUCGAUAACGUGUAGAACCAUUGUUAUGGCAGGUGUCCGGACCUUUCGGCAAUAGCCCAAUCUUUUGACCAGCCAAACUUCAACACCAUAACCGGCACUCUUCUCCACUGCAUUUACAAUAGCUCCUAUGCCAGCUGGGACCGAUUUACGGGUAUCUAUUUGUACCCGUGAAUGGGUUCUAGCUGGUGUAUUACAUAACAUCAAACUUGUCUUAAAGGGCCUCUGUGCUGUUGGCUUCGGCCCCACGCAUGCCUCCCAAAGGUCCGGGACCCCAUGGUCCCGAGAUAUGGAAAGACAUACAAA